AGUGAAUGCAAAAGUAACUAUGAUGUGACUAAGAAUGUGGGUGGGCGGGAGGCUGGUGGGGACCCAGCCCAGCUGCCUGGCUGCCUCUCAUGCUUCUGGCUCCCAUCUCCUCGGAACCCCAGAGAGCUACCUCCGAGCCUGAGGGGGAAACGAUGGUCUGGAGCAACAGCAACUGCCCUUGCCUUUGGAUCCAUUGCUCACACUGCAGGGCCCUUGCCCAGAAGCUGCAAGGAAGAUAAAAGGCAUUUCUCAUCCCUACUCUGCCCACCAAACCCCAUGACGAAUUGCCAGCUCUGAAGAAAAACAUUAACAAAUAGAAGGAAAGAAAGAUCCCCACGUGGAGCCGGUUCUUGUGUUCAUGGCUAGAGCACAGAGAGGUCCAAUCAGACCUUCAACAGGAACUUGUUUGUUGAUUGACAGCAAAAAGAGACUAGGUUUUGUAAAAUUUUUUCAAAGUUCAUGUCAUAUAAUGUGUUAGGUAACAGGCUUAGCCUCUGAAAAUCUUAAAGACAACAUUUGCUAUUUCAGUCUAUUAAAAACUAGUAAUAUACCAGCAUGACUAUAGCCAGAGUCCUUAUUUGUCUUGGUCACCAUGAUUUCUGUAGCCUCUAGAACAGUGCCUGGCAUAUGGUAGACUCAGUGAAGAAUAAGGAAUGAAGGAAUGAAUGAACAAAUGAAUGAAUGAACUGGAAGUUCAUUAGGUGGGAAAGGAAAUGAAGGAGCAUUGAAAGUAUCCUGAACAGGAGAGAAAAAAGAAGCAAGAGAAGUGUCUGUUUAGGUUCUUCUCAUUUCUUUACUUAAAUUUUCAUAAAUUAAUCAUGAUCGUCUCAACAGAGACCAUGUUAGUUAUUAGAUUUUAGCUUCUUUCCCAACAUUGUCCUGUUGGACAAUGUGUUGAAUAAUGUAAAUGGACACCAAAUGGGAUACCACUGUGAAAGUUUGUAGCAUGUUGUGAACUUUAUUACUUUACCACUUUGGUUUCCAAUCUCUUAAUUCAGUAGCAAAUGUUGUUGAGAGGAUAGAAGUUUAGUCUGAUAAAGACUUUGGACUCGUCAAGAAUUUUUUCAUCACAUUCAUUUCAUCAGACUUAAGAGGUAAGAAUUAUCUUUAUUUUGUAGAGUAUUUUCUUCUAAUAAUACUGAGUUCUAAUAACUGGAUUAUAAGGUAAAAAUUACGUAUUAAAUAAGCAGGUGCCAUUUUACAAUUUUCCUAGUUCCUUUUUUUGUUUUGUUUUGUUUUUAUUUGGUUCUGUUUGCUUUUCAUUGAGUGUUGAAAUUUUUUACUCACGUUCUGAUUGUAACUUUGC
rnacentral:lncRNA from 1 species